CCAUUGUUGAGUUGACGUUGAGCUAUACGCCAUCACUGGCAUACUAUGUAAAAACACAUUGUUCUCUUCUUUCAAUCCCCGAGAAAUACAAAAUAAAAAGGAAAAAUGAAAAUGGUGCCAAGAUUCCAGGUCCCAGGCUAGAACAGGCAAUCCUGCGACAGGGGUUCGCGCAUAUACAGCGGCAUGGCAUCAUCAUUUGUGGGCAAUUUUUUCAGUUAUAUUAUGUUAUUGACAGGUGGCAUAUCAAGCUCAGUGAUUCUACAGACUCGGGUAUUUUGGGGCGCGGGAUGCAUGAUAGGAUCUAUGAUGAACAGUGUAUUCAUUCACCAAUGAAGCAUGAGGCUCAGGAAAAGCUGAUCGAGCCACACAGACGGUCUUUCGUCUAUUGCGAAUUUGUUAUCAGUGGGCUUUGAAAUCUAUCUCGAAGGCUCCGAAAAGCUAAUAUUACUUUCGUGGCAAUCAACCCUUCCAGCCGCUCAUGAGACUGCGUACCAAACUGCUACCAAGGCAUUCUCCUCCUUGACCGGAAUUUUCGUCGCCUCUCCAGGGGUUUGCUUCAUCCCUUUUUUGUCGCUUCAGCAUGAAAUGAUCUCACGUA
rnacentral:sRNA from 2 species